CGACCACCCCUUUCACCCUAACACACCCACACGACAGAAAGGGAAGGAAAGAGAGAACGCAGGAGUUGGAAAGAAGAAGGAAAGAGAGGAAGAGAGGAGCGGGGAAGAUGACGCCGGUAAAGAGGCCUGUCGUGGAGAAGAGAGAGGGAUUGUGAGAGGGAGCAAGGCCGAGAGGGAGAUGACGCGAUCGCGAAGCUCGUCUCUGCCAUUGCCUGCAUUGCCAUCCAUGGAGCUGCAGGGUGUUCGCUGUCGUGGUUGCUGGGCCAUCGUCGAACUGCAUGCGCCGUCAUCAGGGUCUUCAUUGUUGCCGUCGAUGAAGGGCUGUCACCGAGGAGCAGAACGCGACAGAGAAGGGAGCAGGAGCCGUCGCCGGAGCUUCCGUGUGCCGCCGUCAGACCUGUUCUGUGCUGGCGUUGUUGGUGGUGGUUUCCUUCGCCGCUGAUGACGUCGCCGGAAGUCACUACGGGAGCCGUUGUUACUCCAUUCUUGGGGGUUCUGCUCUAAGUAUGGAGCGAUCGGAAUUUUUUCCGCCGCUAUGAACUGAAAGUAAAAGGGGUUUUGACACAUUUGGUUUUGAGGGUUUCGACGAGUUGAGAUAGAAUGUAAACAAGCUAAGCAGGUAGAUGAGGGAGUUGAUUCUCUUACCUUGUAAUCUCUGCUGUCAUCUUCCACUGAGUUUUCCAAGAGGAACAUCAUCAUCAUCCUGGAGCAGGAACUUCAAGCGUAUGCAUUAUUUUAUCAUAAAUAUCCAGAAUUCUGUCAGAAAAUGCAAAGGAAAAUUAUACAUAUCCUCCUGAAUGAUAAAUACAUCACACCAGAUACUUGUUUUCAAAAGGCACAAACUCUGGUUAGAAAGGGAAAGACACUAAUGAUGUGUGGAACUGGCGAUCUUAGGGACUGCAUUCAAUGUUUGUCAGAAGCAAUAACUAUCAUGGAGAUAUUUGUUGAGACGGUGCCAAUAAAAAUGCCAUUGAGCAUCAGUUGUCGGUGGCCUAUUUCAUGCGUGCACUUUGUACCCAAGUAGCUGAACCAAGUUCAAAGGUAUUUGCUAGGCUCUUUCAUUUGCAAAGGAAGCCCACCAUUUACAUUCUCAGAUCUUCCAUAAAAAGUACAAUGUAAUAGUUAAUUUCUCAGAGGAUCUUAGGGAACUUGAGAGACUUGAAAUGAUAAAAUCAGUUGCUAAGGGAGCAAUGCUAUUUGAUUCUACAAUUACAUCAUGGAACUUGGAAGAAUGUUAUCUUAGUCCAUAGAAAAUAUUGCAGUAUCUACAGAGCACUCUUCAGGUUUGACUUUGUCACAUCAUCUAUCUUGUAUUUGAGUCAAAUCUAUUUGGUGAAUUGGUGGUAUCCUGUUAUGCACUACAAUUCAAUUUCUGACAAUGUUUAAACUUGGCAUCUCCUAUAUUCGUGUUGCCUGUACACAUGUGCACACAUUCACACGAGAAAAAUUCCUUCAAAAAGUCGAUGUAAUAUUUAGGUUUUUGGUUAAGUUUUGGGGAAAUAUUUUGUAGCCAAAUAUUUAGUUGCUUAAUCCUCUUUUUGAGCUUUAUAGUUUCUAACUAUGCUUCCUUUUGUCAUUUGGAUUGGUCAUGACCUUAUGAUGAUAAUGAUACUGCAACAGGUGUCUAAAUUAGUUGCUGUAAUACAUGUUUCCAUCUUGAGGGAGAAAUUUUCUGUGUCAUCUCUUAGCCAAACUUCGAAUGAAAAUGAUUGGCUUCA